UGCCAUAGCCAAGUGGUAAGGCGUGGGUCUGCAAAACCCUGAUCACGAGUUCAAAUCUCGUUGGCA
rnacentral:tRNA from 1 species